rnacentral:rRNA from 1 species
CCUACGGGAGGCAGCAGUGAGGAAUAUUGGACAAUGGGCGCAAGCCUGAUCCAGCCAUGCCGCGUGCAGGAAGAAGCAUCUAUGGUGUGUAAACUGCUUUUGUACGGGAAGAAACACUCCGACGUGUCGGAGCUUGACGGUACCGUAAGAAUAAGGAUCGGCUAACUCCGUGCCAGCAGCCGCGGUAAUACGGAGGAUCCAAGCGUUAUCCGGAAUCAUUGGGUUUAAAGGGUCCGUAGGCGGUUUAANAAGUCAGUGGUGAAAGCCCAUCGCUUAACGAUGGAACGGCCAUUGAUACUGUUAGACUUGAAUUAUUGGGAAGUAACUAGAAUAUGUAGUGUAGCGGUGAAAUGCUUAGAUAUUACAUGGAAUACCAAUUGCGAAGGCAGGUUACUAUCAAUAUAUUGACGCUGAUGGACGAAAGCGUGGGGAGCGAACAGGAUUAGAUACCCUGGUAGUCCACGCCGUAAACGAUGGAUACUAGCUGUUCGGUAGCAUCUGAGUGGUCGUAGACGAAGUAGAUAAGUAAUACCCACCGUACGGGUAGGUACGGUUACGUCGAGAAGUAGAACGUACGAAACGAAAGUUAGUACGGACGUGAGACGUAGACCGACGGACGACGACGAGGGGAGGUUAGGG